GAUGAACGCUGGCGGCGUGCCUAACACAUGCAAGUCGAGCGAAGCGAUUUCAAUGAAGUUUUCGGAUGGAUUUGAGAUUGACUGAGCGGCGGACGGGUGAGUAACGCGUGGGUAACCUGCCUCAUACGAGGGGGAUAACAGUUAGAAAUGACUGCUAAUACCGCAUAAGCGCACGGGAUCGCAUGAUCCAGUGUAGAAAAACUGAGGUGGUAUGAGAUGGACCCGCGUCUGAUUAGCUAGUUGGUGAGGUAACGGCCCACCAAGGCGACGAUCAGUAGCCGACCGGAGAGGGUGACCGGCCACAUUGGGACUGAGACACGGCCCAA
rnacentral:rRNA from 1 species